GUGAAUGUAUGCCUAUCUGUUGACUAUGCUACUGUGGUUCAAUAUUUCAUGUGCAUUUUGGAAGUGUGUAAUAUCCCUCCCAGGGCUCUUGUGUGAGCAUGUGUCUGUCAUGAGUGAACAUCUCAGAAUGUGUGUGCAAAGUGGAUCUUUUUGUGCCUGUGGGCUUGAGUAUCAGUUUUUGUGUUGCCUGUGUGUGCUUGUGGUUCUGUGUAUGUGUGAGGUGUGUAUCCGCUGGUGUGUGCGUUUGUGCAUCUGACGGUGUGGGGAUGGAGCAGGUUUGUGACCAUGCACCUUGGGGAUAUGUGAAGUUGUGUGAGUGUGUAGGAGUGUGUCUGAGCAUUUAAGAGCCUGCACUGUGUGUCACCUGUAUGUGCAAGUGAGUAUAUGUUGUAUGUAUGGGCCCCUGUGUGUUGGCAAGCGUGCACGUGUGUGUCUGUUAUAGAAGCAUGAAUCUGGUUGUCUGCAAGGGGGCACACAGGUUUCUCUGCUGUGUGUGUCUGUGGGUAUGUAUGAAUGUGCAAAGGAAAGGCAGUGCUGUACAUGCGUGCUUGUGUGCGAGUGUGUCCCCCUUGAGGGUGUGUGUCUGUGCUGUGAGUCCAUUUAUGUGUCAGUGUUGGUCUUUGGGGAUUGGGGUUGUAUCCAUUGAUACGUGCGGGGCAAUCUGUAUGCAUGUGCUUGUCUCCCUGGCACGAGGCUGACCUCACUUCUUGGCCCAGUGAGACUGGAGCCUGUGUGGUGUGACCUGUGGUAUGCUUGGGUCCCUCGUGGAGGGGGGUGUCCAAGGACACAAGUGUGUCCGCAUGCCAGGCCAAGAGCCCACGGAGAGUGGGGGCACACAUCUGGCUGGUGUGUUCCUGGAAAUCCAGAUGUGGAGACUUUGACUCUGGGUCCAUGUGGGUUUUGGCGUGUCUGCACAUGUUGGUAUGACAAUGGUAUGAUGGCGAGGAUGGGGGCCUCUGGUUCUUUCCUACAAAGUUGGGGGACUGGGAUGUGAACUCUGGAACAUGCUGGGAGCCUGAAAUCCCGGAUCUACAAGAGAAGGUACUGGCCCAGGCCCUGACUCCCUGCAGAGAGGUGAGUGGGGUCCUCCAGGCUGGGGAGAGAGAUGUGGAGUGAUUGGGCCUGCUCUGAGCCAGCUGGAGGCCUGAAGCCCUGCCUGAUGAAGAAACCGAGAUUCAGAGAGGUUCAGACACUUGCCCGAGGUCACACAGCUAGUAAGUGUCAGAGCUGGAAUUUGAACCCAGGGGCUGUGGCUUUGAAAUUCAUGACCUUAAACCCUAGUCAGCCAUGAGUUUUCCGAAUAUUAAGUGGGUACUGGAAGGCCUAGGCUUAGUCAGGUGUCACCCCGCUGGUUGGGAAAUCAUGAGAAGUCUGGGCCUUCUGGAGGAGAGUCAGAGUUGGGAUUGGGACACUCAGGGGUGG